GGGUCAGUAGGUUGGUCGUGCCACCGGUACGUACUGGUCUCACUGAUUCCUCCUUCCUGAAGAACCGUAAUGCCAUUAAUUUGGUGUCGCGGGGAAACAGGACUGUUACUUUGAAAAAAUUAGAGUGUUUAAAGCAAGCUAACGCUUGAAUACAUUAGCAUGGAGUAAUGAAAUAGGACGAUCGAUCCUAUUUUGUUGGCUUCUAGGAUUGACGUA
rnacentral:rRNA from 1 species